AUUGAACGCUAGCGGCAGGCCUUACACAUGCAAGUCGAACGGAGUGGCGGACGGGUGAGUAAUGGCUAGGAACGUGCCUAGUAGUGGGGGAUAACGACCCGAAAGGGUAGCUAAUACCGCAUACUAUUGGAGUGGCCUGUACGGGAUUAGCUAGUGGGGGGGGUAACGGCUCACCAAGGCGACGAUCCGUAGCUGGUCUGAGAGGAUGACCAGCCACACUGGAACUGAGACACGGUCCAGACUCCUACGGGAGGCAGCAGUGGGGAAUAUUGGACAAUGGGCGAAAGCCUGAUCCAGCCAUGCCGCGUGUGUGAAGAAGGCCUUCGGGUUGUAAAGCACUUUUAGCAGGGAGGCGGUACCUGCAGAAUAAGCACCGGCUAACUACGUGCCAGCAGCCGCGGUAAUUC
rnacentral:rRNA from 1 species